GCUUCGACUUCCCCGGCCAAAUCCGGCCGAUCCGGCCACCAAUUGGACCGGGUCUUGUGUCCAAAAUCAUCUACUCGGCGAGAGCUUUCCAUAGACACCAAGAACGCCGAAAUCCAUCGAGCGGAUUGUCCGAUUUUUGCUCGGGAAGAUUUUAGCCCAUUUCGACUUUUGGGCUAGAUUUCUCGAAAACCGUGAAUCCCACGAGAAAACCGAGGCCACCAGCACGCUCCAUUCGUCGAGAGCUUCGCAACGACAUAAAUUUCGAAUUUUUCCGACACCGUUUUUCGGUAUCCUCGAUUCGCGGAAAUUCGACAGUUGACCGGGUCUGCAAAUUUCAGGCCAGACAGACCCGUUACCGGAAAAGUCCCCGAAUUGGACCGAGGUUUUGGCUAGCCCCCCAUUGUCAGACGUCCCGAGCGCGUUCCCGAAGUCGGAAUCGGCAAAGGUGAGCCGGGACAGCCUUCUUCCUCCGCCCAGCCGCCACAGUAAUUUGUCGUCCAGUUUGUGAGUAAAAUAUUAAUUUUAAUUGUAAUUUCGAUAUUAUUAUAUGUUCAGCAUGCCCAUGCAUCACUU